rnacentral:lncRNA from 1 species
CCCACUCCAUGAUGUUUCAUCAGGAAGAACUAAGAGACAUAUAGACAUAGUUCGUCAGUCCCUCACCUGUGGACGCCGUACCGUCAUCUGGGUAUUAGUUCUCGAUUCAUCUUGAGAUUCCAAAUUCACAGCAGUACCUGAAGGUAAAAGGCGCAGUUCUCGAUUCAUAUUUCGUGAGUAAUAUGAUAAGUUUCAAACAUGCACUCAAAGCAACUUGGUAUAGAGAAAUAAUUGAAUUUAGUUGUCAUCAAUUUCGUGACCUUUGGCGUAAAUUUGUAAGACGAGUUAAUUAAAUCAGAGCAGGACACAGAAUAUAACCUUGCACGAUGCUUUGUUUCUAGCUUGCAUCAAAACAAACAUCUGACCGAAGCAAUUAAGCAAUCGAAAAAACAGAAGAUAACCCUCGAAGCAAUUAAGCAAUCGAAAACACAGCGACAAAAUAAUCAGGAGCGUUCCUUCAAAAAAAAAAAAUAGUCAGGAGCGAUGGCGGAUCAUCACAUUUACAGAAAUCACAGCUACAGCUGGACGAAGACAUAGCAAGUAUCAACUGGAUGCCGCAAACAGUUUCACGGUGCGUAGGAAGCCAGAAUAUGCAAUGCUCUGUUUCAAGCCCCAAAACAGGGAUCUAAUCAAAGCCAUGAUCUACUAAAAUUUUGAAAUGACAUGCAGAACUACAAAUACAAGAAUUGAGGAAUUUAAUUCUAGUGUCCAACAACUGAAUUUAAGAACACAUUCGAAAUUUAGAGAUUGCGGACACAACUCGUUCAGCAAAACCUACCAUUCAGCCAAUCAAUCGAAGACGACAAGCUUCUGGUACUCCGGCCCUGAGAUGACCUUGUCCAUGAUAUCACUCGGC